GAUGACUACUAGGUGUCGGGUGGCAAAGCCUUUCGGUGCCGCAGUCAACGCAAUAAGUAGUCCACCUGGGGAGUACGUUCGCAAGAAUGAAACUCAAAGGAAUUGACGGGGAGCCGCACAAGCGGUGGAGCAUGCGGUUUAAUUCGAAGCAACGCGAAGACCCUUACUUGAUCUUGACAUCCCUCUGACCGGCAAGUAAUGUUGCCUUUCCUUCGGGACAGAGGAGACAGGUGGUGCAUGGUUGUCGUCAGCUCGUGUCGUCAGAUGUUGGGUUAAGUCCCGCAACGAGCGCAAUCUUUAUCUUCAGUACCCAGCAUUUAGGAUGGCCACUCUGGAGAGGCUGCCAGGGAUAUCCCGUAGGAAGGUGGGGACGACGUCAAAUCAUCAUGCCCCCUAUGACCAGGGCUACACACGUGCUACAAUGGCGUAAACAAAGGGAAGCGAACAUGUGAGUGCAAGCGAAUCCCAAAAAUAACGUCUCAGUUCGGAUUGUAGUCGGCAACUCGACUACAAGAAGCUGGAAUCGCUAGUAAUCGCGAAUCAGAAUGGGGCGGUGACUACGUGCCCGGGUCUCCUACACACCGCCCGUC
rnacentral:rRNA from 1 species